UCUCAGUCCUCUGAUGUCUGUCAGGAUGAAGCUGUUGUGUGUGACUCUGGCUCUCCUCCUCACUGCAAAUUUCUGUGACGGUAUAACAGUUAAACAGUCUCCUGUCCUGUCUGUGUGUAGAGAAGGAGAUGCGUCAGUCACUCUACGGUGUUACCACGACGUCAGCAGCUACUACUACAUGUUCUGGUACCGACAGAGAGACAACAACAUGGAGAUGCUGACAUAUUCUCAUGGUCAAGGCUUGUGGGAAAUACAACCUCCCUUUGAGAAGGAUGUACAUUACACCAUGAGCAGGCCGGAGCUGACUAGAUCCACUCUGGAGAUCAAGAACCUGGAGGUUGGGGACGAGGCUGUGUAUUACUGUGCUUCCAGUAAUGUGAACACCAACCAGGCGUACUUCGGCAAUGGCACCAAACUCACAGUUCUGGAUCCAAACAUCAAAGUCACUGAACCCACAGUGAAAGUCCUCGCACCCUCCGCUAAGGAGUGUGAAGAUAGAAACAAGAAGAAGAAGAAGACCCUAGUGUGUGUCGCUGAAGGUGCACCUGCUUCUACCACCAGCACCACGUCACGGUCUUCUGGCAAGGGACUGACAACAACGUCAACAGAACUGAAGGUGCUGAACUAG